rnacentral:rRNA from 1 species
UGUUCGACUUAUAAAAAAUUACAUGAUUUGAGUUCAGACCGGUAUAAGCCAGGUCGGAUUCUAUCUUUUAAAAAAUUAUCUACAGUACGAAAGGACCUAAAUAUAUUUUCUAAUAAUUUGGCAGAAAAAUGCAUUAGAAUUAGAAUCUAAUUAUUCUUUA